rnacentral:rRNA from 1 species
GACGAACGCUGGCGGCGUGCUUAACACAUGCAAGUCGAACGGAAAGGCCCUGCUUUUGUGGGGUGUUCGAGUGGCGAACGGGUGUGUAUCACGUGAGUAACCUGCCCUUUUCUUUGGGAUAACUUCAUUAAACUGGGGCUAUUAUCCGAUAUGAGCUCCUUCUGCAUGGUGGUUGUUUGAAAGUUUCGGCGGUUCGGGAUGGACUCGCGGCUUAUCAGCUUGUUGGUGGGGUAGUGGCUUACCAAGGCGUUGACGGGUAGCCGGACUGCGAGGGUGACCGGCCACAUUGGGACUGAGAUACGACCCAGACUCAUACGGGGGGCAGAAGUGGGGAAUAGUGCAAGAAGGGCGGAAGCAUGAAGCAGCAACGCCGCAUGCGGGAUGACGGCCUUCAGGUUGGAAACCGCGUGCGCCUGUGACGAAGAGUGAGUGACGGUAAUGGGUAAAGAAGCAACGGCUAACUACGUG